GAUGAAGAACGUAGCGAAAUGCGAUACGUAAUGUGAAUUGCAGAAUUCAGUGAAUCAUCGAAUCUUUGAACGCAUAUUGCGCUCUCUGGUAUUCCGGAGAGCAUGCUUGUUUGAGUAUCAGUAAACACCUCAACUCCCUUUCUUCUUGAAAUGGAGCUGGACUUGAGUGAUCCCAACGCUUUAUUCAUAAAGUGGCGGGUUACUUGAAAUGCAGGUGCAGCUGGACUUUUCUCUGAGCUAUAAGCAAAUCUAUUUAGUCUGCCUCAAAACAGAUUAUUACCUUUGCUGCAGCUAACAUAAAGGAGAUUAGUUCUUGUGCUGACUGAUGCAGGAUUCACAAAGACCGCUUCGGCUGUCUUUGUAAACUCGAUCUCAAAUCAAGUAAGACUACCCGCUGAACUUAAGCAUAUCAAUAAGCGGAGGA
rnacentral:misc_RNA from 1 species